UGCGUAGACCAACGGUCAAACAUACGACCAAAUAAAUGCACUGCUAACAUGGGCACAAAUGAACGUUUUUAGAAAGGUUUAAACCAAAAAAAUAUAUAUACAAUAUAUUAAAUGUAUAUGCUAUAUCAUAUUGAAACACAUGCUAGCAAAGGCAUGCAUUUAACUGAAUGUCAGAACAAAGUACUCAUUCGGCUUUACAUAUAAAUUAAAAUUGAAAAUACCUCACCGACACUGAAAUAUCUGCUUUGUUAUCUAUGUAUGAAUUGAAGUUUAAGCUGCAGUAUCAGUGUCCGUAAUUACCUUGUCGUGUUAAUACUGAAGUAUAAAGAAUAGACUGAGAUCCAAGACAUCUAACCCCAAAGUGUAAAUAGAUUUAAGAAAAAAGGCUUAUGUCAUACGCGCACUGUUCUAUCUGAUAAAUGGUGUAACAGUUUUAAAAAUGUGUGUUAUUCCUAGACGUAAGUCUAACGAUUGGAUAAUGAAUAUGGACCUAGGAGUGAAACGAUAUUACAGCAUGCAGCCAUUUAUUGAUGGGAAUGUACCUAGUGCCAUAACAGUGAGGCACACAAUAAAUGUAGUAUUACAGGAGAAGACUAUGACAAACUCAAUAAUCACACAUAGAAUAAUAAUCGGAGUUGCCGAUGUUAAACGGUCCAUUCAGAGAGGUGGAUUUAUAAACCGGUUCGAAUGAGCUCUUAACCCGCACUUGGCAUUGAUAUCCUGAGCGUGGAUAUUUACUGGGUGACAGAGUUUAUCCGUGUCGUCCUUUUUGAUGACGCCUUUCCUGUAGCCAGUGUCAGAUGCUCAGCAGAGAUACAAUACCGCUCACAUCGACACAUAGAAUUGCAUAGACAGAGCCUUUGGAGUUUGGAAAAGGACGUUCCAUGUACUCCAUGGGGAGGUAUGUAUUCCAAGAUUAUUAAAAGAUUAAACGUCUCUUGCAAUCGCCAGCGCAUGUUAGUAAAAUAGUUAACUAUUAUGAGGUUCAGAAAAUGUAUUGUAUAGAUAUUAUUAAAUUAAUACUUACA